rnacentral:rRNA from 3 species
AGACCCGAAACCCGGUGAUCUAGCCAUGGGCAGGUUGAAGGUUGGGUAACACUAACUGGAGGACCGAACCGACUAAUGUUGAAAAAUUAGCGGAUGACCUGUGGCUGGGGGUGAAAGGCCAAUCAAACCGGGAGAUAGCUGGUUCUCCCCGAAAGCUAUUUAGGUAGCGCCUCGUGAAUUCAUCUCCGGGGGUAGAGCACUGUUUCGGCUAGGGGGCCAUCCCGGCUUACCAACCCGAUGCAAACUGCGAAUACCGGAGAAUGUUAUCACGGGAGACACACGGCGGGUGCUAACGUCCGUCGUGAAGAGGGAAACAACCCAGACCGCCAGCUAAGGUCCCAAAGUCAUGGUUAAGUGGGAAACGAUGUGGGAAGGCCCAGACAGCCAGGAUGUUGGCUUAGAAGCAGCCAUCAUUUAAAGAAAGCGUAAUAGCUCACUGGUCGAGUCGGCCUGCGCGGAAGAUGUAACGGGGCUAAACCAUGCACCGAAGCUGCGGCAGCGACGCUUAUGCGUUGUUGGGUAGGGGAGCGUUCUGUAAGCCUGUGAAGGUGGCCUGUGAGGGUUGCUGGAGGUAUCAGAAGUGCGAAUGCUGACAUAAGUAACGAUAAAGCGGGUGAAAAGCCCGCUCGCCGGAAGACCAAGGGUUCCUGUCCAACGUUAAUCGGGGCAGGGUGAGUCGACCCCUAAGGCGAGGCCGAAAGGCGUAGUCGAUGGGAAACAGGUUAAUAUUCCUGUACUUGGUGUUACUGCGAAGGGGGGACGGAGAAGGCUAUGUUGGCCGGGCGACGGUUGUCCCGGUUUAAGCGUGUAGGUGUGUGUUCCAGGUAAAUCCGGUUCACUUUAACACUGAGGCGUGAUGACGAGGCACUACGGUGCUGAAGCAACAAAUGCCCUGCUUCCAGGAAAAGCCUCUAAGCAUCAGGUAACAUCAAAUCGUACCCCAAACCGACACAGGUGGUCAGGUAGAGAAUACCAAGGCGCUUGAGAGAACUCGGGUGAAGGAACUAGGCAAAAUGGUGCCGUAACUUCGGGAGAAGGCACGCUGACAC